GAUGAACGCUGGCGGCGUGCCUAAUACAUGCAAGUCGAGCGAACAGAUAAGGAGCUUGCUCCUUUGACGUUAGCGGCGGACGGGUGAGUAACACGUGGGUAACCUACCUAUAAGACUGGGAUAACUUCGGGAAACCGGAGCUAAUACCGGAUAAUAUUUCGAACCGCAUGGUUCGAUAGUGAAAGAUGGUUUUGCUAUCACUUAUAGAUGGACCAGCGCCGCAUUAGCUAGUUGGUAAGGUAACGGCUUACCAAGGCGACGAUACGUAGCCGACCUGAGAGGGUGAUCGGCCACACUGGAACUGCGACACGGUCCAGACUCCUACGGGAGGCAGCAGUAGGGAAUCUUCCGCAAUGGGCGAAAGCCUGACGGAGCAACGCCGCGUGAGUGAUGAAGGUCUUCGGAUCGUAAAACUCUGUUAUUAGGGAAGAACAUACGUGUAAGUAACUGUGCACGUCUUGACGGUACCUAAUCAGAAAGCCACGGCUAACUACGUG
rnacentral:rRNA from 1 species